rnacentral:antisense_RNA from 1 species
CUUCAACGAGCCCAGCCACAGCGGGUGUUGGUCCUCAGGCCGCUGCCCGUAGGUGGCGAGCAGCGCCUGCGCCUC